rnacentral:lncRNA from 10 species
GGAACACAAGGAGGCAGAAAGAACUGUGUCCCAAUGUUGUGAGAAGAGAAAGACACAAUGAACCACUGCUGGCUUUGAAGAUGGAAGAGGGAGCUGCAACCCAAAGAAUGCCUCUAGAAGCAGGAGAAGGCAAGAAACAGAUUCUCGCCUAGAGCUUCCAGAAAGGAGCACAGUGCCAGCACUUUGAUGUUAGCCAUUCUUAAGAAGUGACUCUCCAGGGGAGCUAAAAUCCAUGUAUUUGGGCACACACUUGAACAAUAUUGCUAGAGAAAUUUAAGCAAGAGCACAAAGGCACUACGUUGUCUGGGAUGAUGGAAGGAGCUAAAGUCUUCAGUGAAUGAAGGAGCAGGACCAGGAGCUCAAAAUACUUCUUUGAAGACAAAGAAGAAAUGAUAUUACCAAAUGGUUGGCUCAAAAGAACAGGGAUUUUGCAACAGAGAGAGUAUGUCAUGGUCUUGAACAAGCAAUGAAAGAAUCAUCUGAAAGGAAUGUGGAGAUCAGAGAAAAAUGAUGGGAAAGUUACCACAGCCUGCAAAUGAGAAAUGAUGAGAGCCUGCCUGGGACAAAGAAUCUACAAUAGAUCUUCUCCAGCAGCUCUGGAGGUCAGACCCAGCUGUGGAGAGAAUCAUUUCUAAAAAACUAGAAGGCACGUUGGGAGACUACUACUUUCUGUGGAUGAAUGGGAAAUUCAAGACAGAAAAUGGAUGGGCGAUAUGGAAAUACAACUGUUUUGCCAGGACGAUUAAAUAUCAUUGAUGCUUCUGGUCUACAAUUAGUCAGAGAAGAGAUUAAAAAAAUGAUGAGUAUUCAAGAAGGAAAGUGUUUGCUUUAACAUAUGAAGAAAAGGAGCUUCAGAGUGGUGAUUAACCCCAGAAUUGUGUGGAACGGAUAUGGAAACAAGACCACAGGAGCAUCGAGAACUGAGCAGAACUGAAGGUGACAUGAAAAUCAGCUGCAAGAUUCACCUCAGGGUGAUAAUGGGCUGCAGGUGGCUGCAGGAAUCCCGGGACAUUCUAGGCACUGCCAUAUUUUCUUAGGGGCCAGUAAGGAUGGCUAUCAUCAGAUGUACCUGAUGAUACAAACAUGGGCUGUCUUGCCUUCUAGUAUUCAUUCUUGAUGAUUGCAUCCAGAGCUCACUUUGGAGGUGCAGAUCAACUCUUCUUCAGGCUCAUCCAUGCGACUUGAGUGGGCUCUCAUCCCCAUUCCCAGGGGCUUAUGACAAUCAAGGUUUCCACUCCUCCAUGGUCUCAAUGGUUUUUCUCCCCAUGGGAAGCACAUAAUCCCAUUAGAGGCCACGGGAAGCUUUUUUGUUGGGCUUUGAGGGAAAAAAGGCUUUUGCAGCCAAUGAAUCGAUCAAUGUGUACUUCAACCUGGAUUGUAUGUAUGCAUCUCCUAGAUUGGGCGGAUGAUGAAGUGAGGCUGGAAGUGCUGAGCAUCUUCCUACCUGGGAUGACUGGGCUGAGCAGGAAGCCUACCCCGGGGUUCCAGCCAAGUUGGAGCCUGUGAGUGUGUGGUGUAGUUUAACGCCCUGAUUAAAUCACUAGGAAGCCAUUUCUCUCUCUCCUCCCAGACCAGAUCAGACAAUAUGUUCCCUUAUUUCUACUAAAGCCCCAAUUGGAUUUUGUGUCUUUUGAUACUGAAAGAAUCUUACCACAAAUAAAAUAAUUUGUCAUGUGGCUCCUACAUAUUUAUUCAGUUACAUAAACUAACUAAAUAAAUGAAUAAACUGUCAAUAAUGGUAGUUCCUCAUCUAUGAAUGACUCUUUACAAAGCCUAUCUCGCUUAAUAGUCAUAAUAAAUACUGAAGUAGAUACUAUUUAUACCUUUUUUUUAAAAGGAAUUAAAUAUUUUCAGGGUUAUACAAAGCAUGAGUAUUGUGGGUACAAAUUCAAGCUUUCUAACUCAAAUUUGAAGACUUAUCCCCAGGAUACUUUUACAUCUUUAGCUAGUACCAUGUAUACCUCAAAAGCUUACAUUAUUUUUCACAUGUGUUAGGUUUUGAGGGAUAAUCAAUAAGGAGGGCAUACUUUCAGGCUUCUUAUUUAUAACUGUGAAAUUUAGAAAUUGAUGGAGUAGCAGAUUUCUCGGUAGGAGACAGCUGUUUUAAAAUGCCCCAUGUUUUUAUUAAAGUAAAAAUCUCAAAAAUUGUCUUUUAAAAAGUGGCUCUGGCCAAUCUUAGAUAAAACAUCAUUUACUAGACUUAGGAAUUUCCUGUAGUAAAUUUCAGAUUUACUUUUCGGUCUCACAUCAUCAAAGAGAUCAUAACCCUUUGUGCAAUUAUGGUCUUGAACCAAGGCCUAUUCUCUAGGUCACUGCUGUCAGGACUUCAAGAUAAUUGUUUCCAUUGCAGGAUUUGAUUUUUAAUUCCCCGGAUGUUCUUGACGUGGUUCAGUUCUUCAGGAAAUCAUCACCCUCAUGAGCCCUCCCUGCCACUUGCAGAUAGGGCUUUCUCCCGGUAAGUUCUGGAGUCACGGCAGAGCUCAAUAAGUCUGAUUGGGACCUCCUAUGAUUAU